rnacentral:rRNA from 1 species
UAGGGAAUCUUCCACAAUGGACGCAAGUCUGAUGGAGCAACGCCGCGUGAGUGAAGAAGGUCUUCGGAUCGUAAAGCUCUGUUGUUGGUGAAGAAGGAUAGAGGCAGUAACUGGUCUUUAUUUGACGGUAAUCAACCAGAAAGUCACGGCUAACUACGUGCCAGCAGCCGCGGUAAUACGUAGGUGGCAAGCGUUGUCCGGAUUUAUUGGGCGUAAAGCGAGCGCAGGCGGAAUGAUAAGUCUGAUGUGAAAGCCCACGGCUCAACCGUGGAACUGCAUCGGAAACUGUCAUUCUUGAGUGCAGAAGAGGAGAGUGGAACUCCAUGUGUAGCGGUGGAAUGCGUAGAUAUAUGGAAGAACACCAGUGGCGAAGGCGGCUCUCUGGUCUGCAACUGACGCUGAGGCUCGAAAGCAUGGGUAGCGAACAGGAUUAGAUACCCUGGUAGUCCAUGCCGUAAACGAUGAGCGCUAGGUNGUUGGGGACUUU